GACGAACCGUGCGAACGUUGUUCGGAUUCACUGGGCUUAAAGGGCGCGUAGGCGGCCGCUCAAGUCGGGGGUGAAAUCUUUCAGCUUAACUGGAAAAUAGCCUCCGAUACUGGGCGGCUCGAGGGAGAUAGGGGUGCGCGGAACUUCCGGUGGAGCGGUGAAAUGCGUAGAUAUCGGAAGGAACGCCGGUGGCGAAAGCGGCGCACUGGAUCUCCACUGACGCUGAGGCGCGAAAGCCAGGGGAGCAAAGCGGG
rnacentral:rRNA from 1 species